rnacentral:rRNA from 1 species
GAUAAACGCUGGCGGCGUGCAUGAGACAUGCAAGUCGAACGAAGGAUCGGGCUUGCUCGAUCCUUAGUGGCGGACGGCUGAGUAACGCGUAGGUGACCUACCCCGAAGUGGGGAAUAACUGCCCGAAAGGGCGGCUAAUACCGCAUGUGGUCGCACGUUCAUUCGUGCGAGUAAAGCCGCAAGGCGCUUCGGGAGGGGCCUGCGUCCGAUUAGCUCGUUGGUGGGGUAAUGGCUUACCAAGGCGACGAUCGGUAGGUGGUCUGAGAGGACGAUCACCCAGACUGGGACUGAGACACGGCCCAGACUCCUACGGGAAGCAGCAGUCGGGAAUUUUGCUCAAUGGGGGAAACCCUGAAGCAGCAACGCCGCGUGAGGGAUGAAGGCCUUCGGGUUGUAAACCUCUUUUGUCAGGGACGAUGAUGACGGUACCUGGCGAAUAAGCCACGGCUAACUACGUG